AGAUUCGCAGUCUGUACUUCUUUUCAACUUUCCCUCACGGUACUUGUUUGCUAUCGGUCCCGUGUCAGUAUUUAGCCUUAGUAUGAGUUUACCACCCCACCUUUGGGCUGCAAUCCCAAACACCC